rnacentral:rRNA from 1 species
GAUUGAACGCUGGCGGCAUGCCUUACACAUGCAAGUCGAACGGCAGCACGGGUGCUUGCCCCUGGUGGCGAGUGGCGAACGGGUGAGUAAUACAUCGGAACAUGUCCUGUAGUGGGGGAUAGCCCGGCGAAAGCCGGAUUAAUACCGCAUACGAUCUACGGAUGCAAGCGGGGGACCUUCGGGCCUCGCGCUAUAGGGUUGGCCGAUGGCUGAUUAGCUAGUUGGUGGGGUAAAGGCCUACCAAGGCGACGAUCAGUAGCUGGUCUGAGAGGACGACCAGCCACACUGGGACUGAGACACGGCCCAGACUCCUACGGGAGGCAGCAGUGGGGAAUUUUGGACAAUGGGCGAAAGCCUGAUCCAGCAAUGCCGCGUGUGUGAAGAAGGCCUUCGGGUUGUAAAGCACUUUUGUCCGGAAAGAAAGCCUUGGCCCUAAUACGGUCGGGGGAUGACGGUACCGGAAGAAUAAGCACCGGCUAACUACGUG